UCCUUCCCAGCUGCCUCUCCCACAUCCCCCAUCUUCUGCGGGGCUUUCUCAGUCUUCGGUCUCUUACUUCAUGAGCGCUCCAGGAAGGGCAGGUGGGUUCCCUGUUUGAAAUGUAAGCUGACGACCUGAGGGAGCUCUGGAAAGCUCUUGAAGCAGACUGACAACUGCAGUAACAAAACGGUGAAGAGCUGAUGAGUCUCGGAGGAGAAGGGAAAAAGAAAGUGUCCCUUGACAGCAGGGAGGGGCACCUUUUGUGCUCACUGGUCACCUUCUAGAACAGAAGGAGAAACUAUAUCGAAAGAAUGAGAGUAAAGUUCUUCAGGCAAGGCCAUGGUGGGCCUG